UACGUAGGGUGCAAGCGUUGUCCGGAAUUAUUGGGCGUAAAGAGCUCGUAGGCGGUUUGUCGCGUCGAAUGUGAAAACCCGGGGCUCAACCCCGGGCCUGCAUUCGAUACGGGCAGACUAGAGUUCGGUAGGGGAGUCUGGAAUUCCUGGUGUAGCGGUGAAAUGUGCAGAUAUCAGGAGGAACACCGGUGGCGAAGGCGGGACUCUGGGCCGAUACUGACGCUGAGGAGCGAAAGCGUGGGGAGCAAACAGG
rnacentral:rRNA from 1 species